GUGAAGCGGGAAAGGCUCAAAUUUAAAAUCUGAUGGUCUUUGAUCGUCCGAGUUGUAAUCUAGAGAAGCGUCUUCCGCGCCGGACCAUGCAUAAGUCUCCUGGAACGGAGCGUCAUAGAGGGUGAGAAUCCCGUCUUUGGCAUGGAACCUCCCGGGGCUUCUGUGAUGCGCUCUCGAAGAGUCGAGUUGUUUGGGAAUGCAGCUCAAAAUGGGUGGUGAACUCCAUCUAAAGCUAAACAUUGGCGAGAGACCGAUAGCGAACAAGUACCGUGAGGGAAAGAUGAAAAGCACUUUGGAAAGAGAGUGAAACAGUACGUGAAAUUGUUGAAAGGGAAACGCUUGGAGUCAGUCACGUCGACCGAGACUCAUCCAUCGCCUCUUUUGGCUUGGUGUACUUCUCGGCUGAUGGGCCAGCAUCAAUUUUGUCCCUCAGAUAAUGGCAGGGGAAAGGUGGCACCCUUAUGGGUGUGUUAUAGUCCCCUGUCGCAUGUGAGGGAUGGGAUUGAGGAACUCAGCACGCACCUUUUGGUGUCCGGGGCUUCGGC
rnacentral:rRNA from 1 species